UUGGCAACAGAAGCAAUGAAAGUGGAACUGAAAACCAAGGAGGAGCUGAAGCCCUGGGAGCAGCACUCUACUGUGAUCACCAUUCCUCACUUUGACUACAACGCCCCUCUUCUCUCCUCAGUCAUUCCCACUCCGGAUUCCUCAUCACCUGCCCCAUCAAGAGGGAGAAGAGUGCAACAAAAGAAGCCAUGUCAAUUCUUGAAAAGAAAUGAAUGAGUUUCAGUUAUAUUUGAAGUCCUCUCCAAUGCCUGUAUCAUUUUUAUUUCUUGGACCUCUCUUGUUGCAAAAGGAAGACAAAUGAUGAACCAACUUGGAGAAUGGGGAGGUGUGCAUCUGGUGCUUGCAAGAUUCUAUUCUUUUGACUUCACGGAGUUUUUAUAAAAGCUGUGUGCUGAAAUAGGGCUUCAAACUGAUGUUGGUAUAUUGAUACAUUAUGCAUUCCAUUCUUUUUUUAUGAAUGCCA